UUCAUUCUUAUUUCAAAUAUUGUAUUGAAUGCCUGUGGUGCUUAAUCUAAAUUUUGCCUCAGGGAUGAGGCUAGGGUCAUGGAUACAAAGAUGAAUGAGAUGAAUCCCAUGCCAUGGAUGCAAAGGUAAGACUGAGCCCGUACCCUCAGUGAGCUCAGUCACAUGGGGGAGCCAGACAUGCAAGCCAGGAGCUGCCAGGAUCAGGGCUAAGGGUAGGGUAAUCCUAUCACUGAUCAUCCCAACCGGGACACUUUUGAUAGUGUAAGGGUACGAUUAUUAGUUACGCCAGAACAACAGAUAAAGCAGGACUGUCUGGAACAAACCAGGACGUAUGGUCACCCUAGCUGGCGGAAAACCCACAGUGUGAAGGGAGGGCCCUGGGUGACUAGAGGAGGUGAUGCCCUAGCUAGACCUAGAAAAGUGUGAGACAUGCUCUUGUCUCCAGUCAUCACCUGCUAGUUAAGGCUUUCAAGAUACCUGAUUAAGUUGUGAUACUUCUUCCUUAAACCAGUAUUGUGCAUAUUAAAUUAAAAUCUGCAUGGUAGAGCUUAGAGCAGUAGAGUUACACAGAUGACGCUUCAUUUUACAGAGAACUAGACAGGACAGCUUGCUCAGGAUCGCACCACUCGGUGGUGGCAGAGGCCGGGGAGAACCAAAGUGUCCCAACAGUGCUGUGCUCUGUCCUACCACACAGACGAAACUGAGGAUGGAAAGCCUGAAAGAAUCAUUUCUUGGCAGAAGGAUUGUAUAGCAUUCCGAAAUGGAAAACUCAAGAUUAGUUACAUGAAAAUAUUUUUCUUCCAAAAGAUUUGUUGCUACUUUUCCAGUUCCAUUUAACACACAUCAUGCCAAGCAUUAUUCCAAGUGUUUGGGCUACAAAGAUAAGUCAUUGGCCCUGAUGGCAAGUUGUUAGGCUGCUGAUUCUUCAAGGCCCAGCUCAAGUGUCUGUCGCCAGUGCAUCCCCAUCACCUAUGCCCAGUUGCUUCUCACCACCUUUGCUGUUACCACCUCAGUUCAAACCACUAUCACCUCUCACUUCGUCUUUUUCUCCAAGUCUGUUUUCCAUGGAACAGGCAGAGUUAUCAUGAACCUCCUUUUCUCAGACCCUUCCAGUGGUCUUAGGCCAGAAUCCAAACUCCGACCAUGACCCUAAGGCCCUACGCAAUCUAGUCCGUGCCUACCCCUGGCCACAUCUCCUAGUCUGAUUCUUGUUCACUCUGCCCAGCUACUACGGUCUUUUUUGUUUCUCCCACUCACCAGGCACAUUCAGAGAAGCUUGUUCAUGACCUUUACACUUGCUGUGCCAUGACAGCUGUUAGCCCAAUUAGUUCCUAGCUCAUUUUUCACAUCAUUCAGAUCUUUGCUUAAACAUUAUCUCCAAAGAGCAGCUUUGUCUGAUGAUGCUUUUGAAACUAGCUUAUCUUUUCUAAAAAUAAGUUGACUUCCUGCACUAGUAUAUAAGUUCUACAAGGGCCGGGACCUUGUAAUGUUUGCUGUGGUUGUAUCCCAUUGCCUUUAAUAGUGCCUGGCAGGUAGCUGGUGCUCCAUAUUUGUUGAAUGAAUGGACAAAUGAUGUGUUCCAGGACGAAUGGGAAAUUCAGAGUGGCUGGAAGAUUGAGGGAAGGGGAAGGCAACUGGAGAUAAAGAUGUAAAGGCAGUUAGGGGCCAAUCCAUGAAAACCCUUGAAAUUCCCACUCAGGAGUUGGCCAUCACCCUCUGGUCAGGGGAAUCUUCCAAGAAAUGCUGAACCUCAACCCCUUGUCUGUGUGAACUGGCCAUAGGAAUAGAGCCUUUCAAAUGUGAGGUGUGUGCUGAAGUCUGGCCUGCAGUUUCUGGGCAUGUUUAGAAAAUGAGAGAACAUGGUUGAACUAAAAAAGCAAACCCCACAUUGGUCACUGUUAAUCAUAAUUAGUAAUGUCUGUGAUUUGUAUAAUCUUUCUUCCAAAGUGUUCCAGGUCUUGAGACGUGUUCCCUUUGGUCCCCCCAGGCCCUGCCACAAUAACAACCUUGGCAUGUGACUCACCACCCUCCCCUGCCAUAUAAUACCCUUCUAUUUAUCACCUGUCUUACCCCUUCCUUUCCAUGUCAAGUAAUUUCUGUCUUGUUUUUUUCUUCUCUUCCUUCCCUUCUCAAACCACAGCCCAUAUAAUUUUCAUUGCCCUCUUUAGAACCUUCUUGUGUCUCAGCUCCAGCCUUUUUAUAGGGAAGCGGAGCAGACCUGAAACAGUGUGGAGAGGGAGAUGUACAUUGUUAAUUUACCUCCAUUUCAUAGUGGCGUUUUCCUCUGGACUGCAGUUCCUUUUCCAGCUUUGCAGUCCCCCUGGAAGAUAGAUGACUAAACACAAAGGUGGUUGCUGGUGCUUUAAAGUCAUUGGUAAUCUCAGUGCUCAUUUGAGGUUAGCGUCGCUACCCAUAGCAUGAGAUUUGUCAGUGUGCUUAAAUAAUAGAAUUAAAGUAUUGAUUUCUGCUGUGCUUCAUGUAAUGCUGCUUAUACUUAGGGAGGAAUUUAAUAUUUAUUGAGUGCCUCCUGUAUGCCAGGCACUGUGUGAGAUGCUUUAUGCAUAUAUUCUCAUUUAAGACUCAUAUUUUGAUGAGGUUGAUAUAUUAUCCCCAUGAGAGAACUGAAUUUCAAAGAAAUUAUUUGCCCGCAGUCACACAGUCCACGUCUGUCUAAAGCCAGAGCCUGUGUCCUUGCAUACACUGCACAGCCAGACCCAACCCUGCCACAGCACUUGAAAGUGCAUAAAGGGUCUUCACAGGCAUUGUCAUUUCAGUCUUCAUAACAACCUGUAGGGUUGGCAGGGUCGUCCCCAACUGACCUGUGAAAAUGCACCAUCACGGGGACCUCCUGCAGCCCUAUUGCUCUCUGGUUUGGAGUCUGGGACUUGGGCAGGGUCCUGUGCUCGUCACUGUGCUGGAUGCAGGAUUCGAAUCCAGCUCUAGAAGAGUUAGAUCAUUGGUGGGCAAUGCUGGAGGGGCCAGACCACAACCCCCGUGACAUCAUGAGAGCAGGGAUGUGGGUGCUCGUUCUCUGAGGGAGGCCUGGAAGAGCUGCUGUCCUUUUCCUGCUUGUGAGAGUGGAUGCAGGCCUGCCCAGGAGCUGGAAGCAUCGGAGUGAGAGAAGGUUGGACAAGCCAGCAGUAAGGAACAGGGGAAAGAGCAGAGGUUUGGUGUGAGGAGACCCAGUCUGAAGGCUGCUACUUGGGAGUUGUGGGGCCUUAGGCAAACCACUUCACCACUCUGAGCACAGAUACCACGGCGUUUAUUGUACAGUCAUGGUCAAACCUCACCACAGCAUGGAAUAAUACUUUCUCCAAGGGAAAGUCUCUGCUAACCUGACUGCUAACCAGCUGGUUAUGGUUAACUAUCCCAGAACAAGUUUGAGUACUGAUAUGAAGGACCUGGAGACUCACUUCUCUUCCCUGCCCUUGAGAGAGAGGCUAGGCAAGUUGCUGCCCCUCUCUGGGCCUCAGUCUUCUCAUCUGUAAAGCAAGGAUGCUAGUAUCACCCAUGAUUAAGGAGAAAGUGUUUAGUCAGCUAUAUGUUCUAUCAUGUCCCUGAAAUGCUCUGAAAGAAAAAAAGUCUGUAGAUGAAAUUAGAAAGGGUGAGCUUCAUGCCAAAGGGCCUGGAAAGACUUCUCAGAGGAGUGUGGUAUGAGCUAGGUUACAAAGGCUGGAUAGGGGUCAGCAGGGAAGGAGGCAGGGCUUUGGUGGAACGGCUGGCGUAGAGGACCAGGCAACAUCCCAGUACAGGAAGGGCUACUGCUCUGUCUUUCCUUCCCGUCUGACUCCAUCAGCAUCUCCCACAUUCACAGCUCCUGCCCUCAAUUUCUCAAUUCUAAGAGGCUAUUAGUUAUGAGACACAAUUUUAAUUAAAUAGCAGCUUUGGGGAGAAUAAAAAAUUUUCUAUGUAAACAAAUAUUGGUUUUAGUUUCAUCUCAAUUUCCAAACUAUUAAAUUGUGGGGAGAAAAUGUAUCUUAGAAUUGAGAAGAUACAGAAGAUGUCACUUUAGAAUGAAUACUACCAGAAAAGUUUGUCAUGUGGACCUUGAGACUGAUGUUCGUGUUCUUCUUCUGCGACAUACCAGCUUUGUUAUUCUGGGCAAGUUGCUUGAUUUUCCUAAGCAUCAAUUCAUGUUUUAAAUGGUCUAUAAAUUGCCUGGGCAUAGGAGGUGAGCAGUUAAGGUUGUUUGAAUCUGAAUGUUGAUUCAUUUUGGAAAGAGGUCUACAGAACAUAUUUUGUCUGAAAUCAGAGGUUGCUAUAUUAAAAAAAAAAAACUAUACAUAUUAUCAUUUUAGAAUAGCAUAACAGAGCAGUAGUUUUCAACCAGAGGCGAUUUUACCCCCCAAGUGACAUUUGGCAAUGUUGGGAGGCAUUUUUGGUUGUCAUCACUAUGGUGGUAGUGAUGGUGGGGAAGCUACUGGCGUGUAGUGUGUAGAGCCUAGAGAUGCUGCUAAACAUCCUACAUCGCACAGAAUAGGCCCCCAGAACAAAGGAUUUUCUGGCCCCAAAUGUCCAUAGCACAAGGCUGAGAAACCCUGACAUAGAGAUUAAGAAUGGGGAUUAUGGAGCCCGCCUAUCUGGAUUUGAACCCUAGCUCUGCCACCUGCUAGAGCUGUGUAUCCUUGGGCCAGUUACUUGUCCUCUGUCAUCUGGGAAAGAAUAGUAAGUUUCUGCCACAGAGGGUGCUUGUGAGGGUUACCGGGACUUAAUGUUGGUAGAGCAUUUCGAAUGGAGACUGGCUUCCAUGAGGCACCUAGCGAGUAUCCGCUUUUAUUUUAAGUAAUUGAAUAAACGCUAGAGUUUGUGAAAAUACCUUGCCUGGUACCAGGACCUCAGAUAAGUUACUUAACUCCUUGUGCCUCAGUUUCUCCAUCUGUUAAAAAAUGUUGUGGAGGUCAGAUGAAAUUAAGGAUAUGACAGCACGAUGGAAUCUGGAAAAUCUUACAAAUACACUUGUAUCAUUAUUAUUGCCUCAGACUCCAGUAAGAGAAUGUUCUGGGGCUGAAGUAAUAAACUCUCCUGGGCCAGGCUGUAACUCAGCAGAAGGGACAGCCAGAGAGAGGAGGUGCUCAGAGCAGAAUAUUGCAGGCCCAGCAGUGGAUUGCAUCUUAAGUACAUCCUCAGCUGUGAAUCCCGGAAGUUGCCUUUAUUGCACUGUUAUGUGCAAGCUGCGCCCCAGCUUUACAUACCACUUUCCCCAGAGGAGUACUUGGCAAAUCGGCAUACAUGCCUGCUCUGCAGGCUCUAAACUUAGGGAAAAACAACAGCUCAGAUGGAAAGAGUGCCCUGAAAGCCCCUGGCCAGGGAUCUGUUCCUGUUCCUCCUCUGUCUUCUCUGGUCCCAGUUUUUUCAGCUCUCAGAUGAAGGGACUGGAUUGCUGGCCUGGACUCCAAGGCUUGUUGGAGCCCUGGCUCUACCCACACAGGAUUGAGUCAGGAUUAUUAUUAUCUUUAACAAUUAUAUCUGUAAACAGUAAUCUAGCAGGAACUGUGUCAAGCAAUUUACAUAAAUAAACUGAUAUAAUUCUCAGAACAACCUUGUGAAACAUUGACCUUAUUGCUGAUGCUAUCACUGAGCCUCAGAGACGUUAAGCAACUUGCCUGAGAACGCAUAGAGCCAGAUCCACAUCACUCUUGACCAAUACCCUGCAGUAUCACAAGGCAGAAUGUGCAGAGAGCCUGGCGAACACUAGGCACUUAAUAUUUGUUCAUUGUGUUGAAUGAAUGAAUGCCCAAGGGCAAAUCACAAAGUAGCUUGUCCCUCAUCCAGCUCUGUCCAUCCCUGCCUCUCACAACCUCAUCCCUUCUUGCCUGGGCUACCAGUGCCCGCUCUCUCUUGCCGAGAGCUUGGCACCCUCUCGGCAGCAAGUAAAACUGUUCUUUAAGGGACCUUCAGUGACAACUGAAGAGAUUAGCCUUUUCCACUACUCCGUCUGGUGAGCCUGCUCUGUGCCAAGCACUGAGGGGGGCUUGGGGACCUAGAGGUGAGUCAUCCCCAGCACCUGAUCUGAGGGGAAUCUACAUCUGCGGAAGGUGGGUGGGGGUGAGAGGGGAGACUGACGAGAAAACCAGCUGGUCACAAGCCGAAUGAUCAAAGCAGCCCUUGAAGGGAAAGGCUCAGGGAAGCCUUCCCUGGGGCUGAGGCUGCUUUUGAAAUUUGCCUACCUGUACUUGGCACAGACUGGGCCACAGCUGCCUUCUCCCAUCCGUCCCAAUUUAUCCUUCAUUCAGUGUCCUGACACCACACAAUGGAAAACGAAGAAGCAGUCUCCAGCAGCUCAGAAUCCACACUGGGGAAAAAGGGAGAGAGAAACUGCUGCAAAAACCCUACUAUGUGCCAGAUACUUUCAUCUACUUUGUUUAACUUAAUAUUCAUAAGUAGUCAACGAGGUAGACAUGCUCAUUGUGGAGUGAGGGGAAAAUAGGGUUCAAAGAGGUUAAGCAGUUUGCUGAAGGUUCCAGAGGAAAUUGCUUAUGAGGAAGCUUGCUUAAAGAUAAGCAGGUGAAUUGGCCUCUCCAUUUUGGAUCCCUGUGCCGGUCUACUCUCAUAGGGCCCCCUAGAGGCACAGUGUUGGGGUGUCUAGCAGGCUGCAGAGUCGGGUGGGGAGUGAGGAAAGCUCAGUUUCUACAGACCCCCACAGGUUCUCUGUUCAAAACAACUCAGGGGAUGCCCACCUCCUAGGGAGUGCCCAUGCAGACAAGGGCAGGAACACAUAAUGUGGCAAGACAUCCCCAGAUCCACAUCCAAAGGUGGGCAUUUUUCUUGGUGGGGCUUUGGAUAGGGAUGAGGGCCCAGAGGAGAGGCUUGGGAGAGAGGGACCUCUCCCCUCUUCCUGGGACUGCCCAAGAACAGGCCAACAAGCUGCUUUGGGGCAAUCAGUCAGAUCUACAGAGCUGAAGUUCUGCCGGCGCCAUCCAUGAUGAACAGAUUUGUGGACACAGGUAUAACAAGCUACUGCAUCCCCACUCAUUAACCCAAUCACAGUCACCCACAGCAAUCUAACCCUCCACCCAUCCAGCCCUCUGUCCCUUUCUCCUCCCUCCCUCAGGCAUUCCUCUAUUGCACUCAGUGAUUUCUUUCUUUCUUUCAGCAAGGGUCUGGGACACUUGUCAGGCAUCUCUAGGAUUUUGCCAGGAUCCAAGAAGUCUUCGUCAUGGUGCAGAAAGCAUGAGACCCAAGCCUCGACAGAUGAGCUGGAACUUUGGCAGGAAGAAGUGGGUUAAAACAAAGAGCAGUCCAGAUGGAGGGGAUGGUGUGAGCAAAGGCAGAGAAGCUGUAAAAUCUGUGAGAAGUGUUUUACUUCUUUCCAAUUGGAUAAAAAAAUAUGAACAAAGGUAUUUUUCCUAUCACUUUAUAAAAUGUUAAGGGAAUUAGCAUUCUGGCUUGUGUAUGUUUUCUCCAUUUGUCAUUUGUCUGACUUUAUGAUUUUUUUUCAUGUUGAAAUGCUUACUCAUCAGUGACGUGAAGGUGGGUUUGGAUGCUGACAACAAAGGGAGUGGAGGUCCUGGGCCAGGCAGGCUGUUCUUGUUUUUGAGCCCCUACCUUCUUCUAGGCCCUGGGAAUCCAGUGGUGAAGGAGAUAGGCAGAGGUUCUGCCAUGGCGGCAGUGAUGGGCAGUAGGGCAGUGUUCAGCGAGAAUGUCACAGGGGCACCUCCGCAGCUGGACCUGAUGAAUGAGGAGGGACUACCCAGGGUCCAAGCUGCAGGGGGAGAGUUCUGAGCAGUGACUCAUAACAAGCCUAAACCUCAGAGAGAUGGAGGUUUCAGAGUCAGGUUUCUGGAGCCCAAGCUGUCCUUGGGUGGUGAUGAGGCACCUGGCACAGCCAUUCCUGGGUUGGGGUGGGGGGGGCAAGGAUAGAGUCUAAGGGGUCUCCUCGAGUCCCUGAGUGGACAGAAAGCUGCUCCACUAGGCCCUGCUCUGGGCAGGGAUUUCCUCUCUCUGUACAAGGGAAGAAAGAGACUCUCGGGCCUGAAGCCAUCCAGCCAGUGGAGACUUCAACUGAGGUCUGAGUGGUUAGGACUGGCCAGGGUGGCGAUGAAGUGUGUUGUUCUAAGAGCAGCAGAGGAUGGGGACACAGUGCUGACCUCUCCUGGAGUGACGGCCUCUUCCUGCCUCUCCACAGCCCUGGCCCUGUGAACACCUCUCCAGAGAAUCAAAGACCAGGUGGCAGCCUGGGAGGGGAGGAGGGGCCCUGAAGGGAGAUGUGACUGGAGGGCAGGCUGAGACCAGACCCUCGAGCCUUGAAUGCCAGGCUCAGGCAGUUAGCGAUUGUUGGAGGUGAUGGGGCCCAGGGAGCCUGGGAACUGCUCUGCUCCCCUGCCUGGAGCCCUGCCCCAGGGCUCCUUGCAGGUGAUGACAGGAUGAGGCGGGGAGCUGUGGGGAGAGCCAAGAGCUCACAAAGGUUCUGCUGUGCUUGGCCAGGGCCUCCACCAGGGCCGGCUUGCUUGCUUGCUUGCUUGGAGGGAAGGAUAUGAUUUAGAAAGGUGAUUGCCGGGGGCUCAGGGCCAGGCCUGCUGGCUGCCAGCCAAGCACAGCACCCUUACUCCAAGCUCCGCAUCUUGGGGCCUCCUCAUUUCCCUUUACUUUGGUGCUCCUUAUUAGACCCAAGUAGGAUUCCACAGCCUUGAACUGAGGACUUACUAAACACAAGGAGCAAGUGCUUACCUGAGGACCUGGGAGGCGGGGGUGUGCAGGGCGUGGGGGAAGGGUAGGAGUACAGCACUGGCCCAGUGGGCACUUCAUGGAGAAAGAAAUGCAUGAAGGCUGCCCUUCACUGAGCACCAUAUGCCAAACACUGGGUGUUUAUAGUGUUCAUAUUUAAUCCUCUCAACUACCCAGCAAGGUAGUUAUUAAUAUCUCCAUUUUACAGAUGAGAAAAGAGAGUCCUAGAAAGGCUACGUGACUUGCCAGGGUCACAUAGUGAGUCAGUGGUAGGGCCAGAAUUCUAACUCAGGUCGGCCCUGCCUGCCUGUGAAUCUAAUUUCCGCUUAACCCCUACCCUGCUUUGUGCAAGAAAUGAUCCUGUGUCUCACAUGUGUCUGGCAAAGAGUAAGGGGGGGUGUCCCAUAAAUGUUGACUUUAUCAUGCACUCUCUCUGCUAGAGCUUGUGAACCUCACAGCAACCCUUCAGGAUCAGUAAUGUUUCUCUCAAUUUAAUGAUGCAAGCUCAGAGAAGCUGAGCAACUUCCUCAAGGUCACACAGCUUACAGCAGAAGAUGGGAACUUGGGGGAAAUUCAAAAGAAGGGGGUGUAGAGUGGAGCAAGCUAGCCCAAGGAAUGACAGGGAAUUUUCAAGAAGCUCAGGGUGCCCACUGAAGACUGAGAGUGUCCCUGGAAGCUAUAGAUUUGAGGGUGGAGUAGUGGGGUUGUUCAUUCAGCCCUGACCCUCGAUGGGCUCUUACCCAUCAGAAGAGCAGCACUCAAAGAGCUGGGCUCAGGGCAACUGCCUGGCCCCAUGUAUUCCCUGUGUGACCUUUAACAAGAAAGGACCUUCAUCAGGACUAUUUCCUUUUUGUCAGAUGAGCACAGCUGGACUAGGUCUUUGAUUCUCUCUCUUUUUUUUUUUUUUGCGGUACGCGGGCC